AACACACCAGAACACAUCUUCCUAGCUCUAUUCAUGCUGGGAAGGGGUGUCCAAGUGUGUGUCACAGAAUCAUACAUCUCGGCAGAGCUCAGUAUCUUUCCAGAAGCAUCGGUGCCUCCAGCGACAUACGCCUUUUCACCGACGCUUGUUGAUCCAAACAAGCACCGGGGAGAGUUCAUGGGAUCAGCCCUUGUCCAUGAAUUGGUCAGGAUGCUAUAUCUGAACACAAUGUGUGCCAUCCCAAACACAAGCAGCUCGGUGCCCACAGCCAGGGACUCCUUGUCAGAGCACAUGAAGCAUUCAUCCGGUGGCAUCUUGGGCACCUGGAUCCAGCGCUCCCUGUAGGGGUCAUAG
rnacentral:rRNA from 1 species